rnacentral:rRNA from 1 species
GUGAGGAAUAUUGCGCAAUGGAGGCAACUCUGACGCAGCCAUGCCGCGUGCAGGAAGAAGGCGCUACGCGUUGUAAACUGCUUUUAACCGGGAAGAAACCCCAGGACGUGUCCUGGGUUGACGGUACCGGAGGAAUAAGCACCGGCUAACUUCGUGCCAGCAGCCGCGGUAAUACGAAGGGUGCAAGCGUUAUCCGGAUUAAUUGGGUUUAAAGGGUGCGUAGGCGGAGCGUUAAGUCAGUGGUGAAAUCCUGCAGCUUAACUGUAGACUUGCCAUUGAUACUGGCGCUCUUGAGUGCGCUUGAAGUGGGCGGAAUGUGCCGUGUAGCGGUGAAAUGCUUAGAUAUGGCACAGAACACCAAUUGCGAAGGCAGCUCACUAAGGCGAUACUGACGCUGAGGCACGAAAGCGUGGGGAUCGAACAGGAUUAGAUACCCGUGUAGUCC